GUGAGGAAUUUUCCGCAAUGGGCGAAAGCCUGACGGAGCAACGCCGCGUGAAGGAUGAAGGCCUAUGGGUUGUAAACUUCUUUUCUCAGAAAAGAAUUAUGACGGUAUCUGAGGAAUAAGCAUCGGCUAACUCUGUGCCAGCAGCCGCGGUAAGACAGAGGAUGCAAGCGUUAUCCGGAAUGAUUGGGCGUAAAGCGUCUGUAGGUUGUUUAAAAAGUAUUCUGUCAAAGAUUAGGGCUUAACCCUAGAUAGGCAGAAUAAACUUUUAAGCUAGAGUUUGGUAGAGGCAGAGGGAAUUCCCGGUGGAGCGGUGAAAUGCGUAGAUAUCGGGAGGAACACCAAAGGCGAAGGCACUCUGCUGGGCCAAUACUAACACUGAGAGACGAAAGCGAGGGGAGCAAAUGGGAUUAGAAACCCGAGUAGUCC
rnacentral:rRNA from 1 species